GAUGAACGCUGACAGAAUGCUUAACACAUGCAAGUCUACUUGAAUUUGGGUUUUUUAACUUCGAUUUGGGUGGCGGACGGGUGAGUAACGCGUAAAGAACUUGCCUCACAGCUAGGGACAACAUUUGGAAACGAAUGCUAAUACCUGAUAUUAUGAUUAUAAGGCAUCUUAGAAUUAUGAAAGCUAUAUGCGCUGUGAGAGAGCUUUGCGUCCCAUUAGCUAGUUGGAGAGGUAACGGCUCACCAAGGCGAUGAUGGGUAGCCGGCCUGAGAGGGUGAACGGCCACAAGGGGACUGAGACACGGCCCUUACUCCUACGGGAGGCAGCAGUGGGGAAUAUUGGACAAUGGACCAAGAGUCUGAUCCAGCAAUUCUGUGUGCACGAUGACGUUUUUCGGAAUGUAAAGUGCUUUCAGUUGGGAAGAAAAAAAUGACGGUACCAACAGAAGAAGAGACGGCUAAAUACGUG
rnacentral:rRNA from 1 species